UUUUUUUUUUUUGGCGGAGGGGCGUGAGAUGGUUAAUUGGACACUGUCAACCUAUAGUUACGCAUUUUGGAACCCUUCUAGAACGUGCUACUCCGUUUUUCCCGUUCCUAUCUUAAAGACCUUUCAGUUUCAGUGGUUGAUAAGAACGUGCUACUCCAGCAGUUGCUUGUCACGGGACAUGGAGUUUCUCAAGCCGAGCUAAAAUGAGUUUAGGUGAACAGUAAAAUUAAAAGAAUUUAAAAAAA
rnacentral:lncRNA from 1 species